rnacentral:rRNA from 1 species
CCUACGGGAGGCUGCAGUGGGGAAUAUUGCGCAAUGGGCGAAAGCCUGACGCAGCGACGCCGCGUGAGGGAUGACGGUCUUCUGAUCGUAAACCUCUGUCAGCAGGGAAGAACGGUCACUGUGCUAAUCAUCAGUGAAUUGACGGUACCUGCAAAGGAAGCACCGGCUAACUCCGUGCCAGCAGCCGCGGUAAUACGGAGGGUGCGAGCGUUAAUCGGACUUACUGGGCGUAAAGCGCUCGUAGGCGGUAUGUCAAGUCAAGGGUGAAAUCCCCGCGCUCAACGUGGGAACUGCCUUUGAAACUGGCAAACUGGAGUGUGUGAGAGGAUAGUGGAAUUCAAGGUGUAGGAGUGAAAUGCGUAGAUAUCUGGAGGAACAUCAGUGGCGAAGGCGACUAUCUGGCACAUAACUGACGCUGAGGAGCGAAAGCGUGGGUAGCAAACAGGAUUAGAUACCCCAGUAGUC